CCUACGGGAGGCAGCAGUGGGGAAUAUUGCACAAUGGGCGCAAGCCUGAUGCAGCCAUGCCGCGUGUAUGAAGAAGGCCUUCGGGUUGUAAAGUACUUUCAGCGGGGAGGAAGGUGUUGUGGUUAAUAACCACAGCAAUUGACGUUACCCGCAGAAGAAGCACCGGCUAACUCCGUGCCAGCAGCCGCGGUAAU
rnacentral:rRNA from 4 species